UACGUAGGGUGCAAGCGUUAAUCGGAAUUACUGGGCGUAAAGCGUGCGCAGGCGGUUAUGUAAGACAGGUGUGAAAUCCCCGGGCUUAACCUGGGAACUGCAUUUGUGACUGCAUAGCUAGAGUACGGUAGAGGGGGAUGGAAUUCCGCGUGUAGCAGUGAAAUGCGUAGAGAUGCGGAGGAACACCGAUGGCGAAGGCAGCCCCCCUGGGCUAGCACUGACGCUCAGGCACGAAAGCGUGGGGAGCAAACAGG
rnacentral:rRNA from 1 species